CACGACCAGGACUGGAGCCCUGCAUGCCAGAAACCGAAGUUCCCGCGUAGCCACAAGCGGCUUAUACGAAGACCGCUGCCCGGGCACUGAAGUCGGAUUAGCGUUCAUCGCCGUCGUCGCCCCGGCUUCUAAUUCCUGCACGUCCAAGCACCCGAAGCAUCCCCCAUACCGAGGCAAUCAAAAGUGACCAAAGAUUCUGGCGCUACGCAUAGCAAAUUGGAAGCACCCGUCCAAAGGCGUGAACAACGUACUCGAUGGGAACAAGUAUUCGUUAUUAAAGACUUUGAAGUGUU